rnacentral:rRNA from 1 species
AGAGUUUGAUCAUGGCUCAGGACGAACGCUGGCGGCGUGCUUAACACAUGCAAGUCGAACGGGAUCCAAUGUGUAGCAAUACACAGGAAGAUCUAGUGGCGAACGGGUGAGGAACACGUGAGAAACGUACCCCAGACUUUGGGAUAACAGUUCGAAAGGACUGCUAAUACCAAAUAACGUCGGAAGUCCGCAUGGACAUCUGACGAAAGGGAUUCCGGUUUGGGAGCGUCUCGCGGGACCUAUCAGCUAGUUGGAGGGGUAACGGCCCACCAAGGCAACGACGGGUAGCUGGUCUGAGAGGAUGGUCAGCCACACUGGGACUGAGACACGGCCCAGACUCCUACGGGAGGCAGCAGUGGGGAAUCUUGCGCAAUGGGCGAAAGCCUGACGCAGCAACGCCGCGUGCGGGAAGAAGGCUUUAGGGCUGUAAACCGCUUUCAGUAGGAACGAAAAUGACGGUACCUACAGAAGAAGGAGCGGCCAACUAUGUGCCAGCAGCCGCGGUGACACAUAGGCUCCAAGCGUUGUCCGGAUUUAUUGGGCGUAAAGAGCUCGUAGGCGGUUGAGUAAGUCGGGUGUGAAAACUUUGGGCUUAACCCAAAGAUGCCACUCGAUACUGCUUUGACUAGAGUUCGGUAGGGGAGCGGGGAAUUCC